CCUCAAGUUCUUCCUUAAUUUCCACUAAUACCACGAUUAAACAAUGCAAAAAUGAUCAUAAUCAUGAGUAAUGAGGCUCAGGGAACUGAUUCUCUUUGAUUUUUCCCUUUAGUUCACUGCCCUAGCUCACUUCGCGUCUUCAAAAAUGGAGAACUUAGCAAAAAUUCGCGAAGGAACAUUAUAUAAUUUCUGACCCCGGUAUUGCCACACCUACUGUCCCAUUACCGCUUCUGCAAUCCCGCUUCUGUGACUAUUCCACCGCAUCAACGUUUUUCAUUAAAAUGACAAUCUCCGCAUCUGUGACUAAACACCCGCACAUUCACUACCGCAGGUGCACCCACGACACUGCUUCUAUGGUUCCUGAAGGACUUCACUUUGGCCACAUCUGCGAUUGCUUUACGUAUCUGCGAUCAUCGCAUCUGCGGCCUCCCAAUCGCAGGUCCAGUAAUGACAGAACCAAAAGCUUCAACUACAACUCAAUUCCAAAUUCUUCCGUCAACCAUCCGAAAUUACCCCGAGGCCCUCAGGACCUUAACCAAAAGCACAAACGUAUCCCAACACCUUAUCCAAUCUUGUUCCAAUCUUCAAAACACCUUAAAUAAUAUCAAAUCGACGAAAACACAUCGGAUUCAAGCCAAACUUUCUAAAAUCUUCUGAAUUGCGCUUUUGAUCAAAAACCCAACCAAACCACGUUCAAAUGAACUAAAUUUUGCACUCACAUCCCAAAUGACACAAUGAAACUACUGCAACUUUCGGAAUUCCAUUCUGACCCAUAUAUCAAAAUCUUACCUAUCAACAGAAAAAUGCCAAAAUCUCAAUUUUGUCAAUUCAAGCCUAAGCCUUCCAUGGACCUCCAAAAUUCAUUCCGAUCACGCUCCUAAGUUCCAAAUCAUCUAAUGGAGCUAACUAAAUCAUAAAAGUCCCGAUCCGAGAUCAUAUACCAACAAGUCAAAUCUUGGUCAAACCUUUUAAAUUUCAAGCUUCGAACUGAGAAUUGUUCUUCCAAAUUCAUUUAGAUUACCCUGAAAAUCAAAACCAACAAUUUAUAUAAGUCAUAAUCCAUCACACGAGGAAAGUCAUGCCUGAGAAUUGAUGAAUAAAGUGCAAAAGCUCAAACGACUGGCUGAAUCAUUACAUACAAUCUGUAUUGUAGCUUUGUUAUUACUAAACACUUCAAUUGGUAGCUUGAUAUCAACCCCCACUUCCUUUAGCAACCCAAUUAACCAAAUAAGCUCUACCACAAAUAUUGCAAGACUACUCAACUUCUGCUGAGCUUCUAGAAACUGUAGUUUUCUUCUUUAAUUUUCACGACAUUAAGGAGUCUCCAAACUUGACUAAAUAACCUGAAACAUAUUUCCUUGAAAAUGAACAAGCAGCCCAGUCUGCAUUAAAAUAUGUUGAAAUAGUACUGUUGAAUUUGCUGGAGAGUAGUAUUCCUUGUCUUGGACUAUCCUUGAUGUACUUUGCAUUCUUAGAGCUGCUUCCAUGUGAGAUUUCAUUGGUCUUUAAAAGAACUGACUUAGUGUUUGUACACUAUAUGAAAUGUCUAGCCUUAUCAUUGUUAAAUAUAAUAUUUUACCUAUCAGUAUUUGAUAAAAAGGUGAAUCUGCCAAUUCUUCAUCCACCAAGAUAGUAGGUUUAGUUUUCCUGAGAUGUUCAUCAUAUUAUUUAGUUCUAAGUUUAAUAUUUUCAUCAAGAGGUGUAAUUGUUGGCUUAGCAGCUGCAACUCCUGCCUCAGAAAUCAUCUCCAAUGCAUAUUUCCUCUAGUGCAUAAGGAUCCCUUGUUUUGAUCUGGCAAAUUCUAUACCUAGGAAGUAUUCCAGUUCUCCUAGGUCUUUCAUUUUGAAAGACUUUUACAUAUGUGUGUUGGUUUCCUCUAUCAGUUUCAGAGAAUACCAGUAAAAAGCAUGUCAUCUACAUAGAUUAAAAUCAUCAUAAUACCUUCUGCAAUUUUCUUAAAGAACAUGGACUGAUCAUAUUAACUUUGAUGAAAUUGAGACCUCGGUAGUGCUUCUGUCAGUUUAACAUUCCAUUGUCGAGGAGCUUGUUUUAAGCCAUAUAAGGAUUCGACAAGUCUACAUACUUUAUUCUCCCCCUGACUUGGGAAUCCUUAGGGCAUAUCUAUGUAUAUCUCAUCCAGUAAAUCUCCCUGCAAGAAAGUAUUAUAUACAUCCAUUUGAUGUAUAUGCCAGUGUCUUGUAGCAGCUAUAGCAAGUAUAGUUCUUACAGUUUUCAUUUUUAUGACUGGAGAAAAAGUUACUUGAUAGUCUAUUCUCUCUUUUAGGCUGAAACCUUUAGCUACUAACCUAGCUUUAAACCUUUCUAUUUCACAAGAUGCCUUGUAUUUGAUCUUUUAGAUCCACUUGCAUCUGAUAGGGGUCUUACCAAUAGGUAGUCUCGGUAUGUCCCGUGAGUGAUUGUUUUGUAGAGCUUCAAUCAUAGGCUUCAUUGCAUCUAUCCAUUUAGGAUCUUUCACACCUUCUGAAUAAAGAGUUGGUUCAAUGAUAUUUGAAGUUGCGGUCAAGUAGGCUUGAUACUUGGAGGUUAAGUGUUCAUAGGUAAUGAACUUUGAUAUUUCAUAUGGUUAUCAUGUUGGGCAGUUAAUGACAUAAAAUCUUUCAGCCAUAUGGGUAGUUUUUUCCCUCUACCUGACUUUCUGACAUCUGAAUUAAUAGGGAGAUUGAUUGGAGUAGACUGUGGGACUUGAGCUACUGGUUCUAUGACUGGUAUUAUUUAUCAUAUUGUCUCCCUUGCUGGGAUGUUAUUUGUUAUGAUGUUGUCUCCCUUGCCGGGAUGUUAUUAUUUAUGAUAUUAUCUCUCUUGGCGGGAUGUUGUUUUUAUACUCUUGUUCACUUGCCGGAAUUCUUUAAUGACUGAUGUUAAAUUGUAAAUGGGAUCGGGUUGCACGUUGCAAUAGUAACAUAUGAAAUAGGAUCAUGCUGCAUACUGCAACCGUAAUAUAUAAAGUGGGAUCAGGUUGUACGCUGCAGCGGUAAUAUUAUAUGAAACGGGAUUAGGUUGCACGCCGCAACAGUAUCAUAUGAAAUGGGAUCGGGCUACACGCUAUAAUAAUAUUAUAUGAAAUGGGAUCAGGUUACACGCUGCAAUGGUAUUAUAUGAAAUGGGAUUAGGUUGCAUGCCGCAACGAUAAUAUUAUAUGACAUGGGAUAGGGUUGCACGCCGCAAUGAUAUUACAUAAUUUGGGAUCGAGUUGCACGCCGCAACAAGAAAGAAAUGAAAGUGAAUAUUGUGUUUGUUUUCCUUAUUCUUGUUGGCAAUUGAAUUAUAGUUAUUCUUUACAUUCUUCUGUUGGUAUUCUGUUGUUAUCUUAUACUCCCCGCAGCAUGUUUUCCCCCCUACAUCUUUAACUGUAAAUAUCUACUUUUAUUUUCUGAUGUAUUGAUUUAGCUACAUAGGUUUAUUUUAUUGUGGGUCCUACCCUCAUUACUACUUUGCCGAGGUUAGGUUACGCACUUACCAGCACAUAGGGUCGGUUGUGCUGAUACUACACUCUGCACUGUGUGCAGAUCCCGGUGUUAUAGGUGUCCGCAGGCCCUAGCGUCCCCUACUAUCUUUCCAUUCUGUUUCUUUCAAGUAUUUUAUUUAUUUUUCGAACUUUAUUUAUAGUAUUCCUAGACAGAUUGUGAAAUUGUGACACCAGUUCUGGGUAGCUUAUGUUAUGGAUUGGUGUUGGUAUCAUUAUUUAAUUGUUACCUCUCAAUCUUCCGCUUUAUAUUUCCAUUGUUUAUAUGAUGUUUGUUCACCAUUAUUAAAGAAUUAAAAUAUAUGAAAAAGGUUAAGUAAUUGGAACAAUUGGCUUGCCUAGCUUUCACCAGUAGGCGCCAUCACAAAUCCCGAGGGUGGGAAAUCUGGGUCGUGGCAAGUUGGUAUCAGAGCUAUAGGUUACUUAGGUCUCGAAAUUCAUGGACAAACUUUGUAGAGUCUUAGGGAUCGGUACAGAGACGUCUGUAUUUAUUCUCUAAAGGCUACAGGGUUAGGAAAAACAUCACAUCUACUCUUUCCUAUCGUGCGAUUUGGUUUCUCAAUGAUAAUUGAGUUUCUACUCUGUUCUUUUGCAGAUGAACACGUGCUCCUCAUCUAAUGAUCAUUAGCCCGAAACCCCAGUAACAACUCACAGAGGGGGAGAGGGCGAGGCCGUGCUAGAGGCUGAGGUGGGGGUGGAGCUCAUCCCAGAGCUGUAGCACCAGCAGCGGAGCCUCAGGUUGAGUUUGAUGAUGAGGUUCUGGCCCAGGCAACUCUAAUGGGCCCAACUCAGGUCCAGAGGGGUUCAUUGCUACCCAGUACUCCGAGAUGCUCUGGUCUGUCAAAUGGGUCUUAUGGAGAGUGUCAUCCCGACAGGCUUAGUACCAGCUGUCUCUCAAGCCGGGGGAGGAGCACAAACUCCUGCUACUCAACUACGGAGCAUAUGGCUCCCCAGUUUCAGACUCCAAAAGCUCAGCCAGUUGGAGUAGUCCAACCGGGUGUGGUAUCUCAGACCGGUGAUGAAGCAGUUAUGUCUAUUGAUGCCUUAUGGAGAUUGGACAAGUUUAACAAGAUCUUCACUACCACUUUCAGGUAUGCAUAUUUUGAGGAUCCCCAAGAUUAUUAAGACAGCUGUCAUGAGGUUCUCAGAAACAUGAGGAUAGUGGAUAUUAAUGGGGUCGACUUUGCUUCUUUUCACUUAUCAGGAUCCGCCUAGACUUGGUGGAAAGAUUAUUGUUUGUCUAGACCAUUUGGAUCACUAGCUUUGACUUGGGAUCAGUUUUCUCAGUUAUUUUUGGAGAAGUUUCUUCCCAUCACUUAGAGGGAGAACUAUCGGAUGCAGUUUGAGCAUCUCCAAUAGGGUUCUAUGACCGUUACAUAGUACGAGACCAGAUUUAUUGACUUGGCCCAUUAUGCUCUUUCAGCCUGUUCGAUUACAGAUGGCUAAAGAGGCGGGUAGCGAAAUUUCUUUUCAGGAUGUGGCCAAUAUGACUAGGAGAGUUGAUAUGGUUCUAUCACAAUGGGGUGGUCAAAGGUUUUACAAGAGACCUCAUCGUUCUGGUAGGUUCAGUAGUGCCACAUCUCGGGGCAGGGAUUCUUUUGGUGGGGCCAUCCUUCUUGGCCCUUUUAUUCAGCACUUUAGGCUUCUCAAGGUGCUCUAGGUGGUUGUAGUUCUCACAUGCAAUUCUGAUCAGCAAUCCUAUAGUGCAUUGCCAGCUCCUAUCAGUGCACCUCCAUUUCAAUGUUUUUAGGGUUUUCAGCCCCCAGCCGUCGAGGGCUUGUUUUACUUAUGGAGACAUGAGGUAUAUUGCUAGAUUUUGGCCUCGAGCACUGAGCAGUUCUCAGCACCAGAGUUCCCAUGCCAUGGUUCAAGCAUCGAGUGUUCCACCCCUUCCUCAGCCAGCUAGAGGUUGAUGUAGGAGUGCUAGAGGUGGAGGUAGAGGUAUUAGAUAUGUAGUUCGGAGAGGUGGAGGCCAGCAAACAAGAGGCCAUCCUAGAGAUGUAGUUCAGAGUGGUGGCCCAGCCCCGAUAUUUAAUGUGGAGGUAGAGGUAUUAGAUAUGUAGUUUGUAGUAAGGAUGCUUCAGUGCUAUUUGAUCCAGGGUCUACAUAUUCAUAUGUGUCCUCUUAUCUGGCACCGUAUUUGAUCAUACCUAGUGAUUCAUUGAGUGCUCAUGUAUAUGUGUCUAUACCGAUGGGUGAUUCUAUUAUGAUAGAUCGUGUCUAUCAUUCUUGUAUAGUGGUGAUUGGGGGUCUUGAGACCCGAGUAGACUUAUUACUUUUGGACAUCAUUGAUUUUGAUGUCAUAAUUGGGGUGGACUGGUUAUCCCCUUACCACACUAUCUUGUAUUGUCAUGCCAAGACAGUGACCUUAAAAUUACCGGAAUUUCCUCGUUUAGAGAGGAGACAGACUCCUGGUCAUUCUACCAAUAAGGUUACUUUAUAUAUGAAGGCUCGGCGUAUGGUCGAGAAGGGGUGUUUGGCUUAUUUGGCAUAUAUUCGUGAUUGUGGUGUUGAGGUUCCUUCAAUGGAUUUUGUGCAUGUCGUUCUUGAGUUUCCUGAGGUGUUUCCUUCAGACCUAUCGGGCAUGCCACCUAACAGGGAUAUUGACUUCUGCAUUGAUUUGGCUCCGGGCGCAGCCCAUUUCUAUUCCGAUGUAUCAUAUGGUCCCUCUUGAGUUGAAAGAAUUGAAGGAGCAGUUGCAAGACUUGCUUGUAAAGGCUUCAUUAGGUCUAUUAUCUCGCCUUGGGGUGCGCCAAUGUUAUUUUUUAAGAAGACAGACAGAUAGAUGAGGAUGUGUAUAGAUUACCCGCAGUUGAACAAGGUUACAAUCAAGAAUAAGUAUCCAUUACCGAGGAUUGAAGAUUUGUUUGAUCAGCUUCGGGGUGCCAAGGUAUUUUCGAAGAUUAACUUGAGAUCUGGCUACCAUCAGUUGAGGAUUAGGGCAUCUGAUGUCCCUAAGAUAGCUUUCUGCACUCGGUACGGGGACUAUGAGUUCUCGGUGAUGUCAUUCGGGUUGAUAAGUGCCCCAUCAGUUUUUAAGGAUUUGAUGAAUCAAAUGUUCAUGCCUUACUUGGAUUCGUUCGUGAUAGUCUUCAUUGAUGAUUUUUUAUCUAUUCCCGUAGCUCGGAGGAGCAUGAGUAGCAUCUUAGGUAAGGGCAUUAUGAGUUGUUGGUGAUAUCAUUUGGGAUGACAAACGUCCCAGCCGCUUUUAUGGAUUUGAUGAAUUGAGUGUUCAAGACUUACAUGGAUUCGUUUGUCACACCACCUUUUUUCGCUAUACACCCCCGCAAAGGGGCGUAAAGGAGUUUUUCCAAUUAAAGGACAAUCGAUCGGGAUUUGUUUAUUAUUUAUUCAGAGUCGCCACUUGGGAAAUUAAUGGUGUCCCAAGUCACCGAUUGAAUCCCAAACCGAGAAAAAAGAUGCUCUGUUCGCAGUCCGCAAACCAGAAAUCCGGAUAAGGAAUUUUGUUAACCCGGGAGAAGGUAUUAGGCAUUCCCGGGUUCCGUGAUUCUAGCACGGCCGCUCAACUGUUGUAUUUAACUUUAACUGAUUUUAUUACAUGAAGAACCUAUGUGCCAAUUUUUACUUUUUACCGCUUUUAUUUAAUAUAAUAUUUAUUUAACAGAAAGUGAACGUCGUUUAAAGUGUGUUUUCGGAUUGCGCCACAUCAAAUGAAUCUGCAAUCCUAGGCACACUCUAUUCAACGUUUUAGGAUUUGGAUUUGGGCCGCAUAAAAUGUCCGCCCGUAUUUAAGAAGGUAAUUUUAUUAAAAGAACACGCCUAAAGCGACGAACGCAUUAUUAACUUUGAGGGAGGCCAUGAAAAUAAGCUAAUUGGCGUGUCUUGAGUUCUAAGUAUUUUAAAGAAGUAAUUAAAGAGGGCCAUGCAAUUUGUCAUUUUGUUUGGCACGGCUCACCUCGACUAAUCUAAUUUUUUUUAUAAAAAAAAAAAGAGGCUAAAUUAAAAAAUUGCUAUUCUUGGGUCAAAUAAAGACAAUAAAAGAUAUCCACCAAUAUAGAACUAAAUCUCAAAUCUCAACUGUAAUAUGCAUUAAACAAUUACCAACUACCAGUACAUAGAAACCGAAUUCUCUGUUAUUAGCAAAAUAAGUUUAACGCCAUUUCUAGAGUUGUUAUGCGUUGGCAUUCCUUUCACAAAGAAUCUCUACUCCUAAUUACAAGAUUCACCUCGAAAUGACUUUACUAACAAAUUGAUUUCUAACAUUUUUAACCUUCAUGAAUCAGAACCAAUCAACAGAACCUUCAUAUUCCAAAUAAGAAUGAACUUGGGAGAUACAGCUAUAACACUAAGACAACAAACGAACAUGAACCUUUAUCUGUCAACAUUGAAAGCAUUAGCAAACUGAUUUUGAGUCCUAAAGAAAUUAUGAAACAGCCGUUAAUUUCUAACAAAUGGGACCCAAGAAUAUUUGAUUGGAAUCAGCAUGGAUCAUUUGCAUUCAACAGAGAAACAUAUUUUAGUUACCAACAACUAGUGAGCUAGACACACACACUCCAUUGAGAGCAUCGCACAGAUUUAAACUGGAGAAAGAUUAACUCAAACACUACUGCCGAAAUAGCAGAACUAAUUUUCUCUUUCGGACAGUGAUAACCAGCAACAAAAUAACAGCGAUAAAUCACAAAUCGCGAAGCGUUUGGAGUUAGAGUGGAGAGGGUGGAGAUUUGUCUCUUCGGCACAAUAGUCAUAAACGCAGGCCUCAACAGUUCAUACUUAGCUAGGCGAUUGUGAUUUCAACUGAAAUUUUAGCUAUUCACUCCAGAAUCAGACGGAUUUAGUCGACAAUCCAAAUUAACAUAUAAUUCAACCGUCCAAAUUAUCACAUAAACAAAAUUGAUGACAACGGCAAUUAACCAACAAUCCAACUAGAAGAAUAGAAGGAAUCAAACAUAUUCGCAGAUUCGAUAAUCCGACUAUUCAUUCAUAUUCAAAGGAAAAUUUCGAGACAAUGUGUACAUACCUAGGCAGCCGAAAUUAACUGAAGGAAAGCAACAACAAACUUCUGAUAAUAUGAGAGGAGAUCUGGCAACAUAACAGCAACAGACCAGCGAUCAACACGAGUUCAACUCGACGAUAGCAGACAACGGUUCAAUCCGCCAGAUUUCUCAGCUAGCGCCAUGAAUCGGAAGCUCUAAGCCCAAAUUUCACUUGACAUUCCAGAAAAUCUAAGUAAAAACAAAGUAGAAGUGCGGAUAACUUUCAAAUCCCCCUUUGUUUCUAUUUUGGUUUGUAUUUGAAACUCUCCUUUGAAUUUUUCAAAGCUGGGCUUGAAUUUUGGACAUGAAUCGAUGGCACUUGUCUAGAGGAAAAAUGAAGAACUGAAGAAUCCGUUGCUGUGUGUGUUCUCAGAGAAGGGAAGCUUGGGUGUGGAAAAUCUCCUCCUUCUUGUUGUUCUGUUCUCUAUAUUUUGUAUGUGAAAGGAGCGAAGAAGAAGGAUUGAAAAUUAGGGAAUGAGACACGCAUUUUUCGUGG
rnacentral:lncRNA from 1 species